rnacentral:rRNA from 1 species
UACGUAGGUGGCAAGCGUUGUCCGGAUUUACUGGGCGUAAAGCGUGUGUAGGCGGACGCUUAAGUAGAAAGUGAAAGGUUGGUGCUCAACACCAACAUUGCUUUCUAUACUGGGUGUCUUGAGUGCCGGAGAGGAAGAUGGAACUGCACGUGUAGCGGUGAAAUGCGUUGAGAUGUGCAGGAACACCAAUGGUGAUGGCAAUCUUCUAGACGGAAACUGACGCUGAGACACGAAAGCCAAGGGAGCGAACAGG